GGCAAGAUGGCCGAGUGGUUAUGGCGUGUGACUCAAGGACCUCUCCUUACUCGACCCAGUCGAGAGUAUUCUCAUGGGCUCUGCCCGCGAGGGUUCGAAUCCCUCUCUUGUCA